GCUGUGCUCGCGGCCGUCCGGCCCGUCCGGCAGCCCCGGGUCAGCCCGGUGAACUAAGCGGACCCGGGAUGGCCGAGCCGGGGGCCGGCGUUCUGUGCUCCGUUUGCUCACCCUGACCGUGGCACCCGCAUAAGCCGUCUGUGUGUUCCAGAGAGGCCAGCCCUGCAUGUGCUGUCCGUGAGCGUGCUUGGACCUACGCAUAGGACCCAGCUGAGCGGGACAUUUACACGACUGCUGGGGUCGAGGGCAGAACAGGGGGAAACUGUGUUCUGGCGGAGGCACAGCACCCCGGGAGCACCCAGAGCCUGAAGAACACCGGGAUGCCGCAGACAAAGAAGAAGAUGAAGUAGGGGAUGAAGAAGGCUCCUGCAGAAGAGAGAGAGGCAGGGCUGAGCCACACCCGGGCUCUUCCUCAGCCUCCAUCCUUUCAGACCCUCCUCCCCCAACAAACCCGCCCUCCACCAUCCUGUUCUUAAUCUCCCUCCUGACACUUUCCAAGGGCCCACUCCUGCCUGCGUGCAGUCCUGAGUGUUAGGCAGGCACAGGUGGGAAUGUUCUGAUCUGAACCCUACACAGAAUGAGAAAGGCCUUGGAAGGGAAAUUAGUGAAAACUUAGGUGGAAAUUCUAAUAUAUGCACUAUUUAUUUUCUUAGUGUGCUUUACAAAUCUAGUCAAUAGAUUAUUUUUGGAAUAAACACAUGGCUUCUGUAUAACUUGAUAUGCUUAUUAAACUCUUGGUACAUUUUAGAGAAAAACAAACA
rnacentral:lncRNA from 1 species